rnacentral:rRNA from 1 species
GGGGGGGGGGGGGGGGGGGCGGGGGGGGUGGGGGGCGAGCGGGGGGGCGGGGGGCGGGCUGGGGGCGGGGGGGGGGCGGGGGGGUGAUGCAUGGGAGCGUGCGCGGUAGUGGGGGGUGGCCCGGCGAAAGCCGGGUUAAUACGGCCGACGACCUGAGGGUGCAAGCGGGGGACCGACAGGCCCCGGGGUAUGGGAGCGGCCGACGUCGGUCUAGGUGGUUGGGUGGGUAAGGGCUUACCAAGGGGGCCAUCCGUAGCUGGUCUGAGAGGACGCCCGGCCACACUGGGACUGAGACACGGCCCAGACUCCUAAGGGAGGCAGCAGUGGGGAAUGUUGGACAAUGGGGGCAACCCUGAUCCAGCCAGGCCGCGUGCGGGAAGAAGGCCUUCGGGUUGUAAACCGCUUUUGUUCGGGAAGAAAUCCUCUGGGCUAAUACCCCGGGGGGAUGACGGUACCGGAAGAAUAAGCACCGGCUAACUACGUG